rnacentral:misc_RNA from 1 species
GAUGAAGAACGCAGCGAAAUGCGAUAAGUAAUGUGAAUUGCAGAAUUCAGUGAAUCAUCGAGUCUUUGAACGCACAUUGCGCCCCCUGGUAUUCCGGGGGGCAUGCCUGUCCGAGCGUCAUUGCCGCCCUCAAGCACGGCUUGUGUGUUGGGCCCCCGCCCCCCGGCUUCGGGGGGCGGGCCCGAAAGGCAGCGGCGGCACCGCGUCCGGUCCUCGAGCGUAUGGGGCUUCGUCACCCGCUCUGUAGGCCCGGCCGGCGCCCGCCGGCGACCCCAAUCAAUCUUUCCAGGUUGACCUCGGAUCAGGUAGGGAUACCCGCUGAACUUAAGCAUAUCAAUAAGCGGAGG